rnacentral:rRNA from 1 species
GACGUAGGGCGCGAGCGUUGUCCGGAUUUAUUGGGCGUAAAGAGCUCGUAGGCGGCUCGUUGCGUCAACCGUGAAAACCCGGGGCUUAACCCCGGGUCUGCAUUCGAUACGGGCAGGCUAGAGUGUGGUAGGGGAGAUCGGAAUUCCUGGUGUAGCGGUGAAAUGCGCAGAUAUCAGGAGGAACACCGGUGGCGAAGGCGGAUCUCUGGGCCAUUACUGACGCUGAGGAGCGAAAGCGUGGGGAGCGAACAGG